rnacentral:rRNA from 1 species
UACAGAGGGUGCAAGCGUUAAUCGGAAUUACUGGGCGUAAAGCGCGCGUAGGCGGCUGUCUAAGUCGGAUGUGAAAUCCCCGGGCUCAACCUGGGAACUGCAUUCGAUACUGGACGGCUAGAGUAUGAGAGAGGGAGGUAGAAUUCCACGUGUAGCGGUGAAAUGCGUAGAUAUGUGGAGGAAUACCGGUGGCGAAGGCGGCCUCCUGGCUUAAUACUGACGCUGAGGUGCGAAAGCGUGGGGAGCAAACAGG